rnacentral:rRNA from 1 species
CCUACGGGGGGCUGCAGUGGGGAAUUUUGGACAAUGGGCGAAAGCCUGAUCCAGCCAUGCCGCGUGUGUGAAGAAGGCCUUCGGGUUGUAAAGCACUUUCAGUGGGGAAGAAAGCCUUGGGGCUAAUACCCUCGAGGAAGGACAUCACCCACAGAAGAAGCACCGGCUAACUCCGUGCCAGCAGCCGCGGUAAUACGGAGGGUGCGAGCGUUAAUCGGAAUUACUGGGCGUAAAGCGCGCGUAGGCGGUCUGAUAAGCCGGUUGUGAAAGCCCCGGGCUCAACCUGGGAACGGCAUCCGGAACUGCCAGGCUAGAGUGCAGGAGAGGAAGGUAGAAUUCCCGGUGUAGCAGUGAAAUGCGUAGAGAUCGGGAGGAAUACCAGUGGCGAAGGCGGCCUUCUGGACUGACACUGACGCUGAGGUGCGAAAGCGUGGGUAGCAAACAGGAUUAGAUACCCGGGUAGUC